UACGGGGGGGGCAAGCGUUGUUCGGAAUUACUGGGCGUAAAGGGCUCGUAGGUGGCCAACUAAGUCAGACGUGAAAUCCCCAGGCUCAACUUGGGAACUGCGUCUGAUACUGGAUGGCUUGAAUUCGGGAGAGGGAUGCAGAAUUCCAGGUGUAGCGGUGAAAUGCGUAGAUAUCUGGAGGAACAUCAGUGGCGAAGGCGGCCCUCUGGUCCAGUACUGACACUCAAGUGCGAAAGCGUGGGGAGCAAACAGG
rnacentral:rRNA from 1 species